AAUAUGUAUAAAUUUUUGUAUGCAAUAUGUAUAACUGUAUAAAUUUGUUAUAGUUUUUAUGUAUGAAAUAUGUGUAAAAGUUGUAUGUAUAUUUUGAUUAUGAUAAAGUACAUAUAGAUUGUAUAAAAUCUAAUCAAAGUAUGUAUAGAUUAUGAGAAAGUAUAUAUGUAUAAUAAGUUUUCUAAUUGAUACUAACCAGAUUCCAUACACAUUUCAUACAUUAAUUCAUAUCAAAUUUAUUCGCAUUUCAUACUCAUUGUACCGCAUAUAUCUAAAUGAUAUAUAGCAGAUUUCAUACACAUUUCAUACAUAUAUUAGUUUUCAACGUUUUUGAAAACUACUGUUUAUGUAAUAUAUAAAGGUUUCAAACACACAAUGAUCACACAUAUCUCAAAACGAUACAAAUCAAUUUUUAUAUACAAUUAAUACAUAGGUCAGUAAUAAAAAAUAUUUUGUAAUAUUGAUUUGAAAAUUUAUUCUAGGAGAGAAGAUGAAUUUUAGGUCUGGAAAUGGUGUCUAUCAUAGAAGGAGAGGGAGAGAGAGAUAAAUCUUUUAAAAAAGAAGAAGAAGUUGAUUGGUAACUAUCCUAAAAUUAAGCCCACAUUUAAAAUCAGAUUUUUUUCCUUAAAAAAAGCCUAAAAUCGUGGGAUCCCAUUAAACUCAAAUCUGGUAUACUUUGUAAUUUCGUUGGUAUGUUUUGUAAAUAAGGAAAAGUAUCCUUAUGUUUUGUAAUAUAGAGUCUUAAUUAGUAUUAUUAAGUCAUUUUCCCUAAAACAAAAGGAAAUAUACUUGGACUUUAGUUUGGGAAUGAGAUGACUUUGGGGUGAAUAUGGUUGACCAAAUGAGCUAAAAAUGAAAUAAAAUAAGUGAAGUUCUCUUAUAUAUCUAUAUAAAAUAGGAGAGGCAAAAAUAUUGUGUCAUCACUAAAAAAUUUCUAAUUUAAAAACUCCAAGCCUACAAAAAAUAAAUUGCCAAUUCACAAAAUGGGACAGUUAUAAUUGUCGUAAACACAAAAUUCAGUUUCACGGUGGAACUACUAUAUUUCCACAAUUGACAACUCUAAUCACAAAAAUUCUAAUCACAAAUGCUCUUGGUUUUGCUCAAUUCAACUAAUACUCUAUAUUUCCACAAUUGACAACUCUAAUCACAAAAAUUCUAAUCACAAAUACUCUUGGUUUUGCUCAAUUCAACUAAUACUCUAUAUUUCCACAAUUGACAACUCUAAUCACAAAAAUUCUAAUCACAAAUACUCUUGGUUUUGCUCAAUCCAACUAAUACUCUCGCCGGCAAAGCACGUCAUCAUCGUUUCUCUCAGGAAAAAUCGCACAAUGGAUUUCGAUGAGUACGAAUAUAUCGAGAAAACCGUUGAAGAAAUAUCACAGAAGAGAUAGAGAUGAAGUCGAUGACUACGAUGAUGACUACAAUUGUCAUCAUCUUUUUUUUUUUUUUUUUUUUUUUUUGUUCUGUUUAUUAAAAUGUGAUAUGCUGUGGUGAAUUUAGAAUAACAAAGCCUAUGCUUUUUUAGUUUUGUGCUAGCAAGUAGUAUAGAUAAUUUGUAGAAAACAGAACAUUAAAAAUGAGGGCAAAAUAUACAUUUAAAUAAACGUACUAAAAUUUUGUAGCAUUGGCUGCUCAAAUGAAGUGAACCAAAAUAUACAUCACUGUACUAGAUUUUUUUUUUUUUCAAGGAGGUAGAAAAAAUAUAAGCUCCUUAUUGCAAUGUCAAGAUACAUGAAUUCUUUCUUCGUUUCUUCAAUUUCAGAGAGAUAGAGGAUGAUGUUAUAGAGGUUUAUGCAUAAAUAGACAGACUUAUUGUUAUUGGUUAUGAGUAUGUGAUUAUAGUUUUUCAUAUGCUUAUAUCUUAAUGUAUAAAAUUUGUGGGAGUUGAAGAACAGGAGAUUCAAGAGAAUAGUCUGAAAGCCUCGCUUGUUGGGGAGGACUGGGUACAAUGGACAUAAAUUUAGUGUCACGAGUCAAAAUUUUAAGUACUAGAACCAUUGAGACAAGUUCUAAAAUUUGUUUAUAGUGCAUUUUGUUAAUUCGACUAGACUCUAAAUUUUACAGGUAAUUACGAACAAAGAAUAUUCAUCGGUAGGUUUGAGAGUUCACCUACUACAAGCCAAUAUCCCUUUUUGCUCAGGGAUAUGUAGAAUACACCGUAACAGAUGUUGAAGAUUAAUAUUGGAAGUUUAGGUGAUGCGAAGCAUGACUUUGAUUAAUCAACUUCAAAUACAGCUCCGCGCAUGAUAAACAGGCCUUGCCUGCUACUCUUUGUAUUUUUUCUCCUAUAAAUAUUUCUUAACUCCUGUUUUGUUAACUUUAGCAAAAUACAUUAUUUUGUGUUAACUAUUUUAGAACACGUUACAAAGGAUUAUCUAAAUUGGAUUAAAAGCAUUCUAAAUAGUAAAUUGUGUAAACUCAGAUCUUUUGGAGUUAUUUCAUGGAGAUAAUGAUGACCAACAAUUUCAAACGAAGUUGGCCUGGAAAGCUCUUCAACAUGUCCUUAUGGUUCUGCAGUUCCAGAGUGGCUGCCGAAGCAGAGUGUAGGAGUUGUUGCAUAUUGGUUACUACUGAAAAAGCUGUUGAUUGAUCUACUACAAUAUUUAUUGCGCCAUGCACUCUCGGUGUGCCUAAGGAGUGGAAUAAAAUCUGCGAGAAGCAUACCAGCUAUGUUAAACUUCAAGUUUUAGAUGAGCAGGAUUAACAUACAUUUUCAGAGAAAAGGUCCCACAACAGCAUUGUCCAAAUUAUCAAUCAGAGAAAGCAAAAGAGCUGAAUUUGUGAAGAUAGAGGACUAUAAUGAACUUACCAUAUUCCCAUUUUUUUUUAUUAUUCUAUGCAUCUUUCUUCUCUUUAGACUUCUUUUACGUUUCUUCUACGGUUCAAGCCUUAUUAUUUCAAUUGGCAUGCCCUUCGGCCUUCAUAGCAUCAGUUGCUUCACUUAGUUUUUCAACAGCUUCAUGAAGUUGGAGGUGGA